CUAACUCGCUGCCUCACUGCCUCACUGAUGAUGGACAAGCGAUACCAUACGAUAAAAUAUUCACAAAACGAGAAGUAGGACGAGAUAUUCGUCCCGAUCGAGUCCUGACCACCGGGGACCCCAGGCAGGGAAAAUCCUAGUCCACAGCGAGAUCAUGUCCAACGGGGCGGCCCCCAACAGCCGCAUCGGUUUCAUAAGCAACCUUUAAGACAGGAUCGUCACGACUCGGUAAAAUCAUCUGGGACGCCGUGGUGCUGGACCCAACCCCGGACAAGGGUGCGGGCGCAGGAGGCCAUUGUGAUGUCAGUCAUGGGACAAGCAACUGGGUAUCGAGUUGUGCGGUCAAUGAUUGUAAAGAGGUACGUGAAUCCUUUGGAGGGCGGCAGCGGACCAACUAUGUCUACGUGAAGGCUCCCAAAACGGCGAUCCGGAAUUGGGCGCCUCGCCAGCGGAGCUCGCGCGUGAGUGGCCACCUUCAACUUCUGGCAAGCCAGACAGGUCGCACACCACCGUUUACAAUCCUUCUUUACUCCAGGCCAAGCAAAACCUAUAGCCACGUCAUGAGCAGUGGGGCGGGGACUGGCGUGGGCGAGGGCGUGAAUGGUUGAGAAGGCAGCAAACCUGAAAGGCUAGGGUACAAGGGGGCGUGGGCGAGGACCAGACAUCUCGCAGAGGACUUAAGCGCCGUCAAACUCAACAUAAUCAAGGGAGAAACUCGGGGCCCAAUGUCUGCCCAUCCCAUCCGGCGGGCUGAGACCUUCUGGUUGGCCGAUUUCAGGGAUGAGGAAUGCAAUUGGGUUGGAGAGGAUGGAAAAGAAGAGGAGAGGGGGAGAGGAUUAACUGCGGCCUUGGCCGCGCCUCCUAGCGCGCAACGUGAAGAUUCACGUCGGGGUCACCACUUUGGCAUAUACACUUAAUCACGCUUUAACACACAUCGGAUCAGUUGCAAGCAACAGGCCUGCAAGGAAUGUCAUUGAGAGUGGUAUGGAAACCACCAAGUCACAUCAUGAAGAUAUUAGAAAGAAAUGGCAAUCUCAGCAUCUUAAAAGACAAGAUUUUGAAAACUUAUGCAGAUGUUUUCAAUAGGGGACUGGCGUUGAAAGAAAUGAAGACUAAGCCUAUGAAGAUGGAACUUAUGGAGGGAGCAGCCCGUUUAAAUUGAACGUUGCACCACCGGUGCCUUUUUGUCACCGGGACAAAGUUCAGAGAGAGCUCAAGAAAAUGGAAGCAGGCGAUGUCAUCGAGUGGGUAGGCAGCAGGCCAACAGAAUGGUGUCACCCACUCGUGGGCAAAGGGAAAAAAAGGAACCAAUGAUUGUGGACUUGACUUAACAAAAUUAAAUCGUUUUGCCAAACGCACUGUACAUUACUCAAGAACACCCAGAGAUGCUGUAUCAUCAAUAAGUCGAAUUCGAAUUUCUUUUCGAC